rnacentral:rRNA from 1 species
CAGUAGCCGCGGUAAUACCGAGGGUGCAAGCGUUAAUCGGAUUUACUGGGCGUAAAGCGUGCGUAGGCGGCUUCUUAAGUCGGAUGUGAAAUCCCUGAGCUUAACUUAGGAAUUGCAUUCGAUACUGGGAAGCUAGAGUAUGGGAGAGGAUGGUAGAAUUCCAGGUGUAGCGGUGAAAUGCGUAGAGAUCUGGAGGAAUACCGAUGGCGAAGGCAGCCAUCUGGCCUAAUACUGACGCUGAGGUACGAAAGCAUGGGGAGCAAACACGAUUAGAUACCCCAGUAGUCCCUGUCUCUUAUAC